GGUGUGCAGUAUGAGGUUCUAAUGAGCAAGGCACCAGGAAAGGGUGUGAAUGUCAAAGACUAACAGAAACUUUCCAAUGGUGUUUAAUGUUGUUGAAAGAAAUGUUAAGAAAACAUUUGGUGAAUUCUAUUUAGGAAAGUGUGUACAGUUGUUUGAAGUGGAGUAUGAGAAAGUUGGUGGAGUGAUAGGAAAUUGCUGAAGCUGUGGCAAAAAUUAUGCGUGUUUUGGAUGUAGUCACUCCAUUCCCACUAUAUGACCGACUCUGACCGACUCUGCUAAAGGAUCACCGAGAUGUACCUGAUGCUGAGGAAAACAAAGGGAGGAUGUAGCUACACUAGACAAGACAGUCAGAACCAUGUGCAGAGAAACUGCAUAUUCAGGGAAAGUCUGACUAAUGUGAUUGUGUACGACUUUGAUAAGGACGUCGAGUACAAUACUGGGCCCAGAAGACGUAUGUGAGAAGUAAAAACAUCUUAUAGUUUUCCUGUAUAUGGAAGCUUUUUACAACUAAAUUUGACCGGGUCCCAUCCCAAAUUUAGACUAGUAUGAAAUAAAGAACUUUGCAUGAA